GUUCUUUUAUAGCUCAGCUGGUUGGAGCAUGGUGCUGAUUAUGCCAAAGUUGCAGGUUCAAUCCCUGUAUGGGAUG